CACAUGAUGAGGAUAUUCUAGGAUGUAAUCUUAAAAGCGUUCCCAGGCUUCUGGUAAUGUCUCAUCAUUGUGUUGCUGAAAACUUGAAAUUUUUCUACG
rnacentral:snoRNA from 1 species